GCACGGACGAUGAUGUCACGAUGGCGCCAUCACGUUCCAGCAGCAGCCGACCAGGCGCGCGCUUAAUUCAACUCACCCGAUCGAUCGAACACGUAGCUACUCUCCAGCGCUCUGAACACCGUCGGCUCCGCCUCCAUCACCUCCACCACCUCCAGCGCCGCGUGCACGUACACCACCCAGUCACCGUCCCCGCGCGCGCUCGGCAUCGGCAUCACGUACCCGGCGCCGCCGGGCCAGGGGAACUGAUACGACGCGAACGCCGGCCGGCCCCACCCGAAGUCCACCUCGCCGAGGGGAAGCCGCAUCCCCGACGACACCACGCAGGCCAUCGCGUCCUCGCCGCCGUGGCCGCGGCCCAGGUACGCUCUCGCCACCGUGGGCUCCGGCCGCUGCGCCUCCACCCAGUCGACGAGCUCGCGGAAGUGCUCGCCGGUCGCGGCCUCCGCCACCCACCGGUGCACGUCGCCGGCCACGUCCGCGAGCGCCAUUUCGCCCAGGGCGCCGGUGCCCAUGACGCCGUAGGGGAUGGUCAGCACGUUGCCGAAGUAGGCCCCCAUGGCGCCGUCGCGGCGGAGGCGACUGCGCCCGUCCACCACCACGCCCAUGCAGCACGAACGCGGCUGCUGGCGCCGCGAGGCCGCUGCGGCCUUGGCGUGGAGCCCCCACAGGUGGGCCGUGAACGCCUCCAGCUUCGUGCGCCCGGCCCCCGCCGAGGCUUGAAGCGCCGCGACGUCGGCGGCGGACACGCGGUAGAUGCGGUUGGCGGUGGCUGUGUCCGGCAAGGCCGGCGCGCGGCUCACGGGGACGAAGAGGCGGUCCGCGAGGCUGCCGGCGGUGCGGAGCGGUGCCGCAGCUGGUUCACGCGGCGCGAGGAACGAGCGGUGGAAGCACGGGGCCGGAGGCGCUGAGCUGCCGCUGGCGGCUGCGGCCCACGCGACGAGGAACAUGUUGAACGAGUAGGCGUCGCACACGCGGUGGUCGAAGGUGCACCCAACCACGGCGCCGCCGCACUUGAACUUGGUCACCUGCGUGCGUGCAUGUGCUAGAUCGAAUUACAGUGAUGAAUGAUGAUGUCAUAAUUAUAGCCAGUGCUUGUACAAGUAUAGCGCCGCGCUGUGUGUAGUUUGCAACAGUUGGUGAGAAGUUAGUAGUCACCUGCAUCUUUCCGUUCAGAUCAGAAGCUGAAUACCUCAAUUAUGAAUAAAUUGAAUUUGUAUGUUUUUUUUGAAAAGUUUGCUUGAUCGCUCGAAACCAAAAACAACAAACCACGCC
rnacentral:misc_RNA from 1 species